rnacentral:rRNA from 1 species
UACGAAGGGGGCUAGCGUUGCUCGGAAUCACUGGGCGUAAGGGCGCGUAGGCGGCCGAUCAAGUCAGAGGUGAAAGCCCAAGGCUCAACCUUGGAAUUGCCUUUGAUACUGUUCGGCUCGAGACCGGAAGAGGUUAGUGGAACUGCGAGUGUAGAGGUGAAAUUCGUAGAUAUUCGCAAGAACACCAGUGGCGAAGGCGGCUAACUGGUCCGGUUCUGACGCUGAGGCGCGAAAGCGUGGGGAGCAAACAGG